rnacentral:rRNA from 1 species
UACGUAGGGCGCAAGCGUUGUCCGGAAUUAUUGGGCUUAAAGAGCUCGUAGGUGGUGUGUCGCGUCUGCCGUGAAAGCCCGGGGCUUAACCCCGAGCCUGCAGUGGAUACGGGCAGACUAGAGGUAGGUAGGGGAGAAUGGAAUUCCCGGUGUAGCGGUGAAAUGCGCAGAUAUCGGGAGGAACACCGGUGGCGAAGGCGGUUCUCUGGGCCUUACCUGACGCUGAGGAGCGAAAGCGUGGGGAGCGAACAGG